CAACCAGGUCAUCGGCGGAUAGACCUUUGGAAUUGAAGAGUUUGAGAAGCUGAUCGACGGUGGAAUUUGCUCGCGGCAGAUUGGAACCUACUCUGGACGCCAUUGAUAUCUUCCCGUCCCAUCGCCCCUUCUUCACCUGAUUUCUUUGAAUCAAGAGAAAGGCAAAGCUCUCACCAAAUGAACAAAAUCUCUGGCUGCAAUUGCGAGGAUGUCAGCACAAGAUACAACGCCGGGGCACUUGCUUUCAACCAACGCCUUGGCUUUCUUGAUGCUUUCAAACCCUUCCGGUCUUAGCCCCUUGUUGUCCGCUGCAUCCUUUUCCGCCGCCACCUUGCUGCCUGGCUUUGUUGAUAUCAGAAUCGACCCAUCACAGCCCUGCCAUUUUCAAAAGCUUUCUCAAAACCAGAUGUGUGGCUCGAAUUCUUGUCCCAAUCUAGAAAGUGUGUGGGGGCAACUUACAAAAUGGAGGAAAACAAAACAAAACAGAGAUGGCCAGACAUUUAUAUCUUAUUUUAUUACCACAAUCAAAUUUUAAUUUGUGUUUGUAAUUUUCUUUUUUCUCGUGAAUAUUUUCUUUUUUACGUAAAAAAUAUGUAUGUACUUUAUAUCGUUGCAUUUAUCUUUGCAGUUUGCUAUAAAAUUUGGCAGCCACUGAAAAAAAUGAAAUAAAUGGAAGGCUGAUAAAAGCUGAUGCGGAGAGAGCGUGGACAGAAGCCCUGUAAUAAGCCAAGCCAAGCAUGAGCGAUGAACUUCAUAAAUGCAAGGCAUGUGCUAGCACAGGUGCAUCACUCACCUAACUUUACCCCAUUUUUUCUACUCAUAUCAACGUCACCCACCUGAUUUCA